UACGGGGGGGGGCAAGCGUUGUUCGGAAUUACUGGGCGUAAAGGGCUCGUAGGCGGCCAACUAAGUCAGACGUGAAAUCCCCUCGGCUUAACCGGGGAACUGCGUCUGAUACUGGAUGGCUUGAAUCCGGGAGAGGGAUGCGGAAUUCCAGGUGUAGCGGUGAAAUGCGUAGAUAUCUGGAGGAAUACCGGUGGCGAAGGCGGCAUCCUGGACCGACAUUGACGCUGAACGGCGAAAGCUAGGGGAGCAAACGGG
rnacentral:rRNA from 1 species